rnacentral:rRNA from 1 species
GAGUUUGAUCCUGGCUCAGAUUGAACGCUGGCGGCAUGCCUUACACAUGCAAGUCGAACGGUAACAGGUCUUCGGAUGCUGACGAGUGGCGAACGGGUGAGUAAUACAUCGGAACGUGCCCGAUCGUGGGGGAUAACGAGGCGAAAGCUUUGCUAAUACCGCAUACGAUCUACGGAUGAAAGCGGGGGAUCUUCGGACCUCGCGCGGACGGAGCGGCCGAUGGCAGAUUAGGUAGUUGGUGGGAUAAAAGCUUACCAAGCCGACGAUCUGUAGCUGGUCUGAGGGGAUGAUCAGCCACGCUGGGACUGAGACACGGCCCAGACUCCUACGGGAGGCAGCAGUGGGGAAUUUUGGACAAUGGGCGAAAGCCUGAUCCAGCCAUGCCGCGUGCAGGAUGAAGGCCUU